UAAAACGACAUCGUUUUGAACUGUUAACGGAAAGUUGACUCCGUUAAUUUUCUGUUAACGGAAAUUUCACGGCAUGCCUUAAAUGACCACGUCAACGAAACUUAGACAUUUUUUAAUAAGCCAACUCAAACUUUGAGAUUUAAAUGACAUUUCGAAAGUUCAUGCUUUUUUCGUCCCAAAUUUGAAAGUUGGCGCAUUUUUCAACAUUUUUCCCGAAAAUAAUUAGGUGUAAGUAGGCAGAACUUACUUUUUGUGACUCUUAAUAACGGUCGCAAAAUGGUAACACUAUUUUCGAAAACG
rnacentral:sRNA from 1 species